GGUUAAGCGACUAAGCGUACACGGUGGAUGCCCUGGCAGUCAGAGGCGAUGAAGGACGUGCUAAUCUGCGAUAAGCGUCGGUAAGGUGAUAUGAACCGUUAUAACCGGCGAUUUCCGAAUGGGGAAACCCAGUGUGAUUCGUCACACUAUCAUUAACUGAAUCCAUAGGUUAAUGAGGCGAACCGGGGGAACUGAAACAUCUAAGUACCCCGAGGAAAAGAAAUCAACCGAGAUUCCCCCAGUAGCGGCGAGCGAACGGGGAGCAGCCCAGAGCCUGAAUCAGUGUGUGUGUUAGUGGAAGCGUCUGGAAAGGCGCGCGAUACAGGGUGACAGCCCCGUACACAAAAAUGCACAUGCUGUGAGCUCGAUGAGUAGGGCGGGACACGUGGUAUCCUGUCUGAAUAUGGGGGGACCAUCCUCCAAGGCUAAAUACUCCUGACUGACCGAUAGUGAACCAGUACCGUGAGGGAAAGGCGAAAAGAACCCCGGCGAGGGGAGUGAAAAAGAACCUGAAACCGUGUACGUACAAGCAGUGGGAGCACGCUUAGGCGUGUGACUGCGUACCUUUUGUAUAAUGGGUCAGCGACUUAUAUUCUGUAGCAAGGUUAACCGAAUAGGGGAGCCGAAGGGAAACCGAGUCUUAACUGGGCGUUAAGUUGCAGGGUAUAGACCCGAAACCCGGUGAUCUAGCCAUGGGCAGGUUGAAGGUUGGGUAACACUAACUGGAGGACCGAACCGACUAAUGUUGAAAAAUUAGCGGAUGACUUGUGGCUGGGGGUGAAAGGCCAAUCAAACCGGGAGAUAGCUGGUUCUCCCCGAAAGCUAUUUAGGUAGCGCCUCGUGAAUUCAUCUCCGGGGGUAGAGCACUGUUUCGGCAAGGGGGUCAUCCCGACUUACCAACCCGAUGCAAACUGCGAAUACCGGAGAAUGUUAUCACGGGAGACACACGGCGGGUGCUAACGUCCGUCGUGAAGAGGGAAACAACCCAGACCGCCAGCUAAGGUCCCAAAGUCAUGGUUAAGUGGGAAACGAUGUGGGAAGGCCCAGACAGCCAGGAUGUUGGCUUAGAAGCAGCCAUCAUUUAAAGAAAGCGUAAUAGCUCACUGGUCGAGUCGGCCUGCGCGGAAGAUGUAACGGGGCUAAACCAUGCACCGAAGCUGCGGCAGCGACGCUGAUGCGUUGUUGGGUAGGGGAGCGUUCUGUAAGCCUGCGAAGGUGUGCUGUGAGGCAUGCUGGAGGUAUCAGAAGUGCGAAUGCUGACAUAAGUAACGAUAAAGCGGGUGAAAAGCCCGCUCGCCGGAAGACCAAGGGUUCCUGUCCAACGUUAAUCGGGGCAGGGUGAGUCGACCCCUAAGGCGAGGCCGAAAGGCGUAGUCGAUGGGAAACAGGUUAAUAUUCCUGUACUUGGUGUUACUGCGAAGGGGGGACGGAGAAGGCUAUGUUGGCCGGGCGACGGUUGUCCCGGUUUAAGCGUGUAGGCUGGUUUUCCAGGCAAAUCCGGAAAAUCAAGGCUGAGGCGUGAUGACGAGGCACUACGGUGCUGAAGCAACAAAUGCCCUGCUUCCAGGAAAAGCCUCUAAGCAUCAGGUAACAUCAAAUCGUACCCCAAACCGACACAGGUGGUCAGGUAGAGAAUACCAAGGCGCUUGAGAGAACUCGGGUGAAGGAACUAGGCAAAAUGGUGCCGUAACUUCGGGAGAAGGCACGCUGAUAUGUAGGUGAAGUCCCUCGCGGAUGGAGCUGAAAUCAGUCGAAGAUACCAGCUGGCUGCAACUGUUUAUUAAAAACACAGCACUGUGCAAACACGAAAGUGGACGUAUACGGUGUGACGCCUGCCCGGUGCCGGAAGGUUAAUUGAUGGGGUCAGCGCAAGCGAAGCUCUUGAUCGAAGCCCCGGUAAACGGCGGCCGUAACUAUAACGGUCCUAAGGUAGCGAAAUUCCUUGUCGGGUAAGUUCCGACCUGCACGAAUGGCGUAAUGAUGGCCAGGCUGUCUCCACCCGAGACUCAGUGAAAUUGAACUCGCUGUGAAGAUGCAGUGUACCCGCGGCAAGACGGAAAGACCCCGUGAACCUUUACUAUAGCUUGACACUGAACAUUGAGCCUUGAUGUGUAGGAUAGGUGGGAGGCUUUGAAGUGUGGACGCCAGUCUGCAUGGAGCCGACCUUGAAAUACCACCCUUUAAUGUUUGAUGUUCUAACGUUGACCCGUGAUCCGGGUUGCGGACAGUGUCUGGUGGGUAGUUUGACUGGGGCGGUCUCCUCCUAAAGAGUAACGGAGGAGCACGAAGGUUGGCUAAUCCUGGUCGGACAUCAGGAGGUUAGUGCAAUGGCAUAAGCCAGCUUGACUGCGAGCGUGACGGCGCGAGCAGGUGCGAAAGCAGGUCAUAGUGAUCCGGUGGUUCUGAAUGGAAGGGCCAUCGCUCAACGGAUAAAAGGUACUCCGGGGAUAACAGGCUGAUACCGCCCAAGAGUUCAUAUCGACGGCGGUGUUUGGCACCUCGAUGUCGGCUCAUCACAUCCUGGGGCUGAAGUAGGUCCCAAGGGUAUGGCUGUUCGCCAUUUAAAGUGGUACGCGAGCUGGGUUUAGAACGUCGUGAGACAGUUCGGUCCCUAUCUGCCGUGGGCGCUGGAGAACUGAGGGGGGCUGCUCCUAGUACGAGAGGACCGGAGUGGACGCAUCACUGGUGUUCGGGUUGUCAUGCCAAUGGCACUGCCCGGUAGCUAAAUGCGGAAGAGAUAAGUGCUGAAAGCAUCUAAGCACGAAACUUGCCCCGAGAUGAGUUCUCCCUGACUCCUUGAGAGUCCUGAAGGAACGUUGAAGACGACGACGUUGAUAGGCCGGGUGUGUAAGCGCAGCGAUGCGUUGAGCUAACCGGUACUAAUGAACCGUGAGGCUUAACCUU
rnacentral:rRNA from 1 species